rnacentral:rRNA from 1 species
CAAUGGGCGAAAGCCUGACCCAGCAACGCCGCGUGUGUGAUGAAGGCCUUCGGGUCGUAAAGCACUUUUCUGGGGAGAUGAGAAAGGACAGUAUCCCAGGAAUAAGUCUCGGCUAACUACGUGCCAGCAGCCGCGGUAAAACGUAGGAGGCGAGCGUUAUCCGGAUUCACUGGGCGUAAAGCGCGUGCAGGUGGCGCGGUAAGUUGGGCGUGAAAUCUCCCGGCUCAACUGGGAGAGGUCGUCCAAUACUACCGUGCUUGAGAGCAGAAGAGGAAGAUGGAAUUCCCGGUGUAGUGGUGAAAUGCGUAGAUAUCGGGAGGAACACCAGUGGCGAAGGCGAUCUUCUGGUCUGUUUCUGACACUCAGACGCGACAGCUAGGGUAGUAAACGGGAUUAGAGACCCCGGUAAUCCUAGCCGUAAACGAUGUGAACUUGGCGUUGGUGGGUUAAACUCCAUCAGUGCCGUAGCAAACGCGAUAAGUUCACCGCCUGGGGACUACGGCUGCAAGGUUA